rnacentral:RNase_P_RNA from 1 species
GGAGUGGGCUGAGCGGCCGCUGCGGCGGCAGGCCCGUGUUGUGGCCGGUCUCCUGACCGGGCACAGGGACGCCGCCGUGGAGGAAAGUCCGGGCUCCCCAGGACACGGUGGUGGGUAACGCCCACCGUCCGCGAGGACCGGGAAAGUGCCACAGAAAACAAACCGCCGAUGGCCCGGGGGAUUUUCGAUUUUGGAUUUUUGAUUUUCGAUUUGGUGGACGCCGAUCGGUGACCGAGCGCCAGCCCGCAAACGUCCGCAUUUUCGGAAUAGAAAAUCGCAAAUCUAAAAUCGAAAAUCCCUCUGGCACAGGCAAGGGUGAAAAGGUGCGGUAAGAGCGCACCGCGGUUGUGGUGACACAACUGGCAGGGCAAACCCCACCGGGAGCAAGACCAAGCAGGGCGAAGGAGGAAUGUCCUCCACGAGGCUGUCCGUCUCGUUGUACGCCCGGGUAGGUCGCGCGAGGCGCUGGGCAACCAGCGUCCCAGAGACAUGGCCGUUCUCGACAGAACCCGGCUUACAGGCCCGCUCCGGCU